UUCGUCUUGUAAAAAUGUUUACUACUAUUUUGGAAGCGUUUAAAAGUUUUUAAUAUAUUUAUAUACCAUACGUAACGAAGAGGUUAAAGCUAUGCAGAGAUCGCUACAAUAUCCAGUUCUACUUCCCACCCUUUUAGAAGAAGUAUUCGCAAGAAUUUCUAGUUCCACGCCGGGAGACCAAGAAAAUACAAAAAAUCUUUUGGAUUUACACAAUCUAUUGGGCAGACGUCUGGUACCGGCUGCAUUGCAUAAACUUGAUAAUCGAAGCAUUGUCAUUUAUACCAACAAUCCCAAAACAAUACAACUAGCAGAAAUUUCUGGGACCCCGCCAUCUUUCCGUUUACUGCGUUUGUGUGUGCAAUUAAAUUAUUGUACAUGUGAAUAUUUCAAGGAAAAAGUUCUUAACAAAACGACUCCUUGCACUGGACCCUAUACCUGUCAACACGUGCUGGCGGUUCGCUUAGCUAUUGCUUUGCAGCAUAAAUGUUUGCAAUAUAAAGAAGUACCAACCCACAAACUUGAUUUAUUUUUAAACUAUUUCCUAUCGAGCAACUCGGAAGCUCAGUAAUUCAUUGCCCUUAUACUGGAGACAACUAAAGUCUCAUACAAUAUUCUAAGCAGUUGUUUGUGAAACGUAUUUUACGCAAUUGGAAGAUGUUGGCUCAAGCUCACUAUUAAGCAUCAAAAUGUAUUACAAUGGUCUGUAAGCUCCAUUGUUUCUGUUUCUAGAGCAUAUGUACAGAAUAUUCCAUUAAAACUACUCACUACGAAAAGCCAAUGGAUUAUAAUUUGAAUGGGAGUUUCAGCCUAAAUAGACUAUUCGUUAAAGGUCCUGAUUUGCAAGAAUAUUUCAAGAAUUUGACAGAUCUGGUGAAAAAAGUGGAAAUAACAAUAUCAUCGCGACCACACUAUAAUUGCUACAUUGGUAUGCAGUCGGAAAAAAUAAAUAAAGUUUUUUUUAUAAAGUAUGUUAAUUAAUAUAAUUUAAUGUAUUUAAUAAAGGUUAUGCCCGAAA